GACGAACGCUGGCGGCGUGCCUAAUACAUGCAAGUCGAGCGGACAGAAGGGAGCUUGCUCCCGGAAGUUAGCGGCGGACGGGUGAGUAACACGUGGGCAACCUACCCUGUAGAUCGGGAUAACAUCGAGAAAUCGGUGCUAAUACCGGAUAAUCAUUUGAAGUGCAUGCUUCGAAUGUAAAAGAUGGCUCCGGCUAUCACUACGGGAUGGGCCCGCGGCGCAUUAGCUAGGUGGUAAGGUAAUGGCUUACCAAGGCAACGAUGCGUAGCCGACCUGAGAGGGUGAUCGGCCACACUGAGACUGAGACACGGCACAGACUCCUACGGGAGGCAGCAGUAGGGAAUCUUCCGCAAUGGACGAAAGUCUGACGGAGCAACGCCGCGUGAGUGAUGAAGGUUUUCGGAUCGUAAAGCUCUGUUGUUAGGGAAGAACAAGUGCCGUUUGAAUAAGGCGGCACCUUGACGGUACCUAACCAGAAAGCCACGGCUAACUACGUGCCAGCAGCCGCAGUAAAAC
rnacentral:rRNA from 1 species